CCUGCUGCCCCUUCCUUUCCGCUUUCAAACCCAAGGGAGAGCCCCGAGGGCCUCGCUGCUCUGUUUCUAGGCUCUCCCAGUGAAGCUAAUUUUCAGGUGACUGUGUACGUGCCUGGCCCAGGCUCCUGUGCGCCGACACACCGAGAGGGAGCGUGCUGGUGUCUGGGACCGGGCGGGACCAUAUCCGGGUGGACCGGGUGGGUAGGGCCAUCCCUCCCCCCUGGUCUCGAGGUGGGUUGGGGGUGGAGAGAAGGGCGUGCGGAGAUUUCCCUGUCAGGAUCCAAGUCCGGGGCAACAAAAGGCUAGGGUGCAGGGGGCCGAUGUAGGGCGUACCCACCCUGUCUGCCAGGCCCGCCCCAGGAGCAUCCCUAGCCCGGGUCCCCAAGCAACUGCAAGGGACCAGGAGCUGGAGGAGGAGGAGGGCGAGAAGUGGCUGGAGGGCGGGGCCGGGCCCUGGUCGAGGCGGGAGGAGGGGCGGCCGC
rnacentral:lncRNA from 1 species